rnacentral:rRNA from 1 species
UUGACCUCGGAUCAGGUAGGGAAUACCCGCUGAACUUAAGCAUAUCAAUAAGCGGAGGAAAAGAAACCAACAGGGAUUGCCUCAGUAACGGCGAGUGAAGCGGCAACAGCUCAAAUUUGAAAUCUGGUCCCCAGGGCCCGAGUUGUAAUUUGCAGAGGAUGCUUUUGACAAGGUGCCUUCCGAGUUCCCUGGAACGGGACGCCAUAGAGGGUGAGAGCCCCGUCUGGUCGGACACCGAGUCUCUGUAAAGCUCCUUCGACGAGUCGAGUAGUUUGGGAAUGCUGCUCUAAAUGGGAGGUAUAUGUCUUCUAAAGCUAAAUCCCGCCCAGAGACCGAUAGCGCACAAGUAGAGUGAUCGAAAGAUGAAAAGCCCUUUGAAAAGAGAGUUAACCAGCCCGUGAAAUUGUUGAAAGGGAAGCGUUUAUGCCCAGCCUUGGCCCGGUUGAUCAUCCCAGGCGGUUCUCGGCUGGUGCACCUCUGCCGGUCCCAGGGCCAGGCAUCAGGUUCGCUGCGGGGGAUAAAGGUUUCGGGAAUUGUGGUCUCUCCGGGGAGUGUUAUAGCCCGUUGCGUAAUACCCUGUGGUGGACUGAG